GGAUUGAAAAAGUUGCGCUUGUUGGUGAUGAAUUUGCGGGGAGAUGUGCUGCGAUUAUUUUUAUGAAUGAAUUUACUUGGCCUUGAGAAAUGCGCGCAUGCGUUUGUGAAAGAAAUAGUUAUUAUUGUAUUUGAGUAUGCGUGUAAUUAUGUGCAUAUGUAUGUAUGCUGCCGUGAGUUGUACAUAUCCUGCAAAAAUUGUGCG